GUCCACGCCGUAAACGUUGGGCGCUAGAUGUGGGGACCUUUCCACGGUUUCCGUGUCGUAGCUAACGCAUUAAGCGCCCCGCCUGGGGGAGUACGGCCGCAAGGCUAAAAACUCAAAAGGAAUUGACGGGACCCCCGCACAAGCGGUGGAUCAUGUUGUUUAAUUCGAAGAUACCCGAAAAACCUUACCAGGUCUUGACAUACUCUGCAAAGCUAUAGAGAUAUAGUGGAGGUUAACAGAGAUACAGGUGGUGCAUGGUUGUCGU
rnacentral:rRNA from 1 species